CAGCCGCCGCGGGAAUACAGAGGGUGCGAGCGUUAAUCGGAUUUACUGGGCGUAAAGCGUGCGUAGGCGGCUAAUUGAGUCGGAUGUGAAAUCCCCGAGCUUAACUUGGGAAUUGCAUUCGAUACUGGUUAGCUAGAGUGUGGGAGAGGAUGGUAGAAUUCCAGGUGUAGCGGUGAAAUGCGUAGAGAUCUGGAGGAAUACCGAUGGCGAAGGCAGCCAUCUGGCCUAACACUGACGCUGAGGUACGAAAGCAUGGGGAGCAAACAGGAUUAGAUACCCCGGUAGUCCCUGUCUCUUAUAA
rnacentral:rRNA from 1 species